UACGGAGGGUGCGAGCGUUAAUCGGAAUUACUGGGCGUAAAGCGCACGCAGGCGGUUUGUUAAGCUAGAUGUGAAAGCCCCGGGCUCAACCUGGGAUGGUCAUUUAGAACUGGCAGACUAGAGUCUUGGAGAGGGGAGUGGAAUUCCAGGUGUAGCGGUGAAAUGCGUANAUAUCUGGAGGAACAUCAGUGGCGAAGGCGACUCCCUGGCCANAGACUGACGCUCANGUGCGNAAGUGUGGGUAGCGAACAGU
rnacentral:rRNA from 1 species